rnacentral:rRNA from 1 species
GAUGAACGCUGGCGGCGUGCCUAAUACAUGCAAGUCGAGCGAAGGGACGAGAAGCUUGCUUCUCUGAUGAUUGCGGCGGAGGGGUGAGUAACACGUGGAUCACGUACCUAUAAGACUGGGAUAACUUCGGGAAACCGGAGCUAAUACGGGACAAUAUUUUGAACCGCAUGGCUUAAAAGUGAAAGACGGUCUUGCUGUUACGUAUAGAUGGAUCCGCUCUGCAUUAGCUAGUUGGUAAGGUAACGGCUUACCAAGGCAACGAUGCAUAGCCGACCUGAGAGGCUGGUCGGCCACCCUAGAACUCAGACACGGUCCCGACGCCUACACAAGCAAGCAGACAGCAAUCUUCCGCACAGGGCGAAAUCCUGACGGAGCACCGCCGCGAAAGUAGCAGAGGUCCUCCGAGCGUGAAACUGGGUUACUGGGGAAGAACAUAUUUGUAACUAACUGUGCACAUCGUGACGGUACCUACGCAGAAAGCAACGGCUAACUACGUG